CACGUAGGGCGCAAGCGUUGUCCGGAAUUAUUGGGCGUAAAGAGCUCGUAGGCGGCUUGUCGCGUCGACUGUGAAAUCCCGCGGCUCAACCGCGGGUCUGCAGUCGAUACGGGCAGGCUAGAGUUCGGUAGGGGAGACUGGAAUUCCUGGUGUAGCGGUGAAAUGCGCAGAUAUCAGGAGGAACACCGAUGGCGAAGGCAGGUCUCUGGGCCGAUACUGACGCUGAGGAGCGAAAGCGUGGGAGCGAACAGG
rnacentral:rRNA from 1 species